UUUUUGUUUCAAAAUCAUUCUGCUGCUUCAAACAAACAAAAAAAAAAAGAAGGGCUCCUUUUUUCUCUGCUAGGGUUUCGAAACCCUAGCUUUUGCGCCGCCAUCGCCUGCCCACCGCUCUUCCACCAUGGACAGUGGUCGGAGUUUGGCAAAUCAAGGCCUUUAGCCCUUGUUUCAGCCCCACUUGAAAGCUAAGUAUACUUAGCCCACGAUUGGAAGAGGAAAUCUUUCCCCUCGUCCCCUUUCGAUUCUGUUUUUGAAGACGGAGAGAACUCCGACGACGUAACCGUGAGGCGAUUCAGGUAAGUUUCUUUCUUCUUCCUUUUUGUUUUCAUUUACAUAUAUAAAUAAAAUAUAAAGUAAUCAAUAAAAAAACAAAAACAAACAAGAACUUAAAACGAAGAUAAAAAACCUUUGAAGCUUUUCUCUUUUUUUUUUCUCCACCUGUAUAUGUAAUACACUUUUGUAUUAAAAAAAAGAAACCCCCCCUUUUACAUUUGGUUUCCUUUCGGCUUUAUAGCCGAUUACCAUAGAAAAUAUUUUCUGCUCUCUUCUCUUGUUUGUUGUUUUUUUGCUCUCUUUUCUUCUGCUUUGCGUGCUUUUUGCAGGUAACGUCAGAGUCGGUGAACAAAGGCGAUGGGAUAUAAAGUAAUCAAUAAAAAAACAAAAACGAACAAGAACUUAAAACGAAGAUAAAAAACCUUUGAAGCUUUUCUCUUUUUUUUUUCUCCACCUGUAUAUGUAAUACACUUUUGUAUUAAAAAAAAGAAACCCCCCCUUUUACAUUUGGUUUCCUUUCGGCUUUAUAGCCGAUUACCAUAGAAAAUAUUUUCUGCUCUCUUCUCUUGUUUGUUGUUUUUUUGCUCUCUUUUCUUCUGCUUUGCGUGCUUUUUGCAGGUAACGUCAGAGUAGGUGAGCAAAGGCGAUGGGACGGCGUCUGUUCGGGCGCAAAAUGCGCUGACACCAUGUAGGGGAGGGAGGCACGGCGCCUAGCAUAGGAACCCUAGGGUUUCUUCUUUUUUUCCUGAUAAAUUUGGGCUUUGGGUUUUAAUUUUUGGGUUAGGUUUAGUUGGGCUUUGGAUUGGGUUAUAGUUCGGGCUUUGUAUUUAGGCUGUGAAUUGUAAAAGAGCUGUUAACAAUUUUUUUAGUUUGGGAUUAGUCAGUCCGAGCAAAAAUUGGGCUCUACACACCUUAAUUCGACUGUCGACAUCAACACACCUCAUUUAUGGAGUAAUAAUUUGUGAUGAUUAAGUCACAAUAUAUAAAAAUUAUAUGUUGGGAGUCACCGACUUCUCUCCCGCUCUGUCUCUCGAUCUUUCUCUUUGUUUCUACUUCAUAGAAUAAAAAAUCAAGCUUAUCAUCUUUCGUCAAGCUUAUCUAUAGAUUAAAUUAAUAAUAAAAAAUUAAUCCGACCUGCUUAAGUCGAUGUAGGAAGCUAUAAAUAUGCUAGGCAUUUCCCAUCGUAUGUGUGAGUUGUGAAAGCAAUAAACAGUGAGCUAUAAGCUCUCUUUAGAAUUUUGGUUAUGUGGCUGUUUUGGGCAUCCGAGUUAAUUCUAUUUUCCUUUUCAUUAAGUCCCUUCCUUCUAUUGCUUAAGUUUUUUUAUAUUUGCUCCCUCAAUUACUUCAAGAAGUGGUAUCAAAGAUAAACAGCUAAUUAGCAUUACAAGACUCUUGCGGAU
rnacentral:lncRNA from 1 species